rnacentral:piRNA from 1 species
UACAGACAUGUAGCCACAUAUUCAAA